AGUCCAUGGUGAGGGCAAAGUCUGAGUAUAUUCUUGAAUCUAUCCCAAGCUUCAUAUAGAGACUCUGAAUCAUCUUGUUUUAAAUUGGCAAUCAAAUUCCGCAUGUGUGU